AAUCAAAUCCUGUGACGGAUACACGAACAGUGCCCAUUAUAACAGAUUUUUGUGGAAAACGUGAGGUUCUGAAUGUUCAAAGUUGUUGAUAUCUAGAAUUGGCAUAUUACCAUUUUUAAAAUGUAAUGUCUUGUUACUUGCUGGAACUUUAAAGCUUCUUAAGGGAUUUGAUUUUGUUUCUAAAGGAAGAAAAAGGGACAGGUGGAUAUUGUGCUCUCCGCUUCUUAUCUCUCCUGACCCUUAAGCUGAUCUGUACUUUGUGAUGUUCAUUCUUUAUUGCAGUUUACCUUGGGUCUGGUCAAACACCGGUGGGGAGAAACGAUCAGAUUAUUGAUCCCAUUUUGUCGGUGCCAUUUCCCUCAACAAAGAUGCUCACUUUCAUUUUAAUCCUGCUCUAAUCUUUAAAAUGUCUGUUGACAGAAGUCUUCUGAGGCCUUUCAUCUGCAAAAGCCAGUUUUCUCCCCUUUUCUCUAGAUAUUUUUGUAGAGUUAAGUCUGGGGCUCCCGCGGCCGUUUCCCAGCGUUUUGUGCCUGCUGUCCUCUUCCCAGUGCCGGUGUUGGUUAGAAUGAAAUGCAGAGAGAAGUUAACCAGGUACCAGGGCUGUUUAAACUGCCUCUUCUCCAAUGGUGGCCACUGCUUCCUCCUUCCCAGCAAGUGGAGGUAAUUGGAAUAAGAAUAUUCAUUCCUUUCCGAUAUUGCCCAAGUGUUUCUUUCUCUGCCACGUGUCUCCUUAUACCAUCAGACAAAUCAAGCAUGCCCUCUCUGCCCCACUGAACCUUUGCUAAAUGCACAUUAUAGUACUAUCUAGCAGUGGUAUAAUUAUUAGUCUCCUCUGGAUUGUGAACUAUGUGAGGGCAAGAAUUUUCAUUUAUCUUUGCAUUUCGAAUUCAUAUCAAAGUGCUUUGUACAUUGCAGGUACCCAGUAGGUGUGGAAGACUUCAUGCAUAUGAUUAAUUUGCACUUCACAUACUUAACGGGUUGAUUAAGUUUUAUAGAUUGGCUUGAAACCUAAUCAUCUUCAGUACUCUUGGUGAAAGGAGGUGAAUGCGAAGAUUUGAACAACGUACUUCUCCUGAAACUAAUGUUACACUAUAUGUUGACUAACUGGAAUUGAAAUACAAACUUGAAACAAAAUAAAAAACAACCUACUUAAUAUUAACUUUUGAAU
rnacentral:lncRNA from 1 species